GGGCUUAUAGUUUCAAUGGUAAAAUAUCGGUCUCCAAAACCGCAGUUCCAGGUUCGAGUCCUGGUGGGCCCG
rnacentral:tRNA from 1 species